rnacentral:rRNA from 1 species
UGACGGUAGCUUACCAGAAAGGGACGGCUAACUACGUGCCAGCAGCCGCGGUAAUACGUAGGUCCCGAGCGUUGUCCGGAUUUAUUGGGCGUAAAGGGAGCGCAGGCGGUCAGGAAAGUCUGGAGUAAAAGGCUAUGGCUCAACCAUAGUGUGCUCUGGAAACUGUCUGACUUGAGUGCAGGAGGGGAGAGUGGAAUUCCAUGUGUAGCGGUGAAAUGCGUAGAUAUAUGGAGGAACACCAGUGGCGAAAGCGGCUCUCUGGUCUGUCACUGACGCUGAGGCUCGAAAGCGUGGGUAGCGAACAGGAUUAGAUACCCUGGUAGUCCACGCCGUAAACGAUGAGUGCUAGGUGUUAGGCCCUUUCCGGGGCUUAGUGCCGGAGCUAACGCAAUAAGCACUCCGCCUGGGGAGUACGACCGCAAGGUUGAAACUCAAAGGAAUUGACGGGGGCCCGCACAAGCGGUGGAGCAUGUGGUUUAAUUCGAAGCAACGCGAAGAACCUUACCAGGUCUUGACAUCC